rnacentral:rRNA from 1 species
ACGAAGGGGGCUAGCGUUGCUCGGAAUUACUGGGCGUAAAGGGCGCGUAGGCGGCUUAGUCAGUCAGGCGUGAAAUUCCUGGGCUUAACCUGGGGUCUGCGUUUGAGACGGCUAGGCUAGAGGAUAGGAGAGGGUCGUGGAAUUCCCAGUGUAGAGGUGAAAUUCGUAGAUAUUGGGAAGAACACCGGUGGCGAAGGCGGCGACCUGGCCUAUUACUGACGCUGAGGCGCGACAGCGUGGGGAGCAAACAGGAUUAGAUACCCUGGUAGUCCACGCCGUAAACGAUGUGCGCUGGAUGUUGGGGCCCAUAGGGUCUCAGUGUCGUAGCUAACGCGGUAAGCGCACCGCCUGGGGAGUACGGCCGCAAGGUUG